rnacentral:rRNA from 1 species
AUACGGAGGGUGCAAGCGUUGUUCGGAAUCACUGGGCGUAAAGGGCGCGCAGGCGGUUUGGCAAGUCAGAUGUGAAAGCCCAUGGCUCAACCAUGGAAGUGCAUUUGAAACUGUCAGACUUGAGUACUAGAGGGGAAAGUGGAAUUCCCGGUGUAGAGGUGAAAUUCGUAGAUAUCGGGAGGAAUACCGGUGGCGAAGGCGACUUUCUGGCUAGAUACUGACGCUGAGGCGCGAAAGCGUGGGGAGCAAACAGGAUUAGAUACCCGAGUAGUCC